rnacentral:tRNA from 1 species
GGAGGGUGGCGCUCAGUGGUGGGCAACCGGAUUUGAAAUCCGGGCCAUCGGAAACGGUGAGGGUUCGACUCCUUCACCCUCCGCCA